GACGAACGCUGGCGGCGUGCUUAACACAUGCAAGUCGAACGAAGAGCGACGGAAGCUUGCUUCUAUCAAUCUUAGUGGCGAACGGGUGAGUAACGCGUAAUCAACCUGCCCUUCAGAGGGGGACAACAGUUGGAAACGACUGCUAAUACCGCAUACGAUCUAACCUCGGCAUCGAGGAUAGAUGAAAGGUGGCCUCUACAUGUAAGCUAUCACUGAAGGAGGGGAUUGCGUCUGAUUAGCUAGUUGGAGGGGUAACGGCCCACCAAGGCGAUGAUCAGUAGCCGGUCUGAGAGGAUGAACGGCCACAUUGUGACUGAGACACGGCCCAGACUCCUACGGGAGGCAGCAGUGGGGAAUCUUCCGCAAUGGACGAAAGUCUGACGGAGCAACGCCGCGUGAGUGAUGACGGCCUUCGGGUUGUAAAGCUCUGUUAAUCGGGACGAAAGGCCUUCUUGCGAAUAGUGAGAAGGAUUGACGGUACCGGAAUAGAAAGCCACGGCUAACUACGUG
rnacentral:rRNA from 1 species